GCUGUCAUCGUAUGAUGGUUUUUACCACAGUCUUACAAACUGAAGAUGAGGGUUCAAUUCCCGCUGACCACUCCA
rnacentral:tRNA from 1 species